GAUGAACGCUGGCGGCGUGCCUAAUACAUGCCAGUCGAGCGAACAGACGAGGAGCUUGCUCCUCUGGCGUUAGCGGCGGACGGGUGAGUAACACGUGGAUAACCUACCUAUAAGACUGGGAUAACUUCGGGAAACCGGAGCUAAUACCGGAUAAUAUAUUGAACCGCAUGGUUCAAUAGUGAAAGACGGUUUUGCUGUCACUUAUAGAUGGAUCCGCGCCGCAUUAGCUAGUUGGUAAGGUAACGGCUUACCAAGGCGACGAUGCGUAGCCGACCUGAGAGGGUGAUCGGCCACACUGGAACUGAGACACGGUCCAGACUCCUACGGGAGGCAGCAGUAGGGAAUCUUCCGCAAUGGGCGAAAGCCUGACGGAGCAACGCCGCGUGAGUGAUGAAGGUCUUCGGAUCGUAAAACUCUGUUAUUAGGGAAGAACAAAUGUGUAAGUAACUAUGCACGUCUUGACGGUACCUAAUCAGAAAGCCACGGCUAACUACGUG
rnacentral:rRNA from 1 species